rfam:Synechococcus phage S-SSM5, complete genome.
GGGUCAGUAGCUCAGCGGAUAGAGCAACUGCCUUCUAAGCAGUCGGUCGUAGGUUCGAUCCCUACCUGACCCG